rnacentral:misc_RNA from 1 species
UGUUGCAGCUAACGCGUUAAGUGUCCCGCCUGGGGAGUACGGCCGCAAGGUUAAAACUCAAAGGAAUUGACGGGGGCUCGCACAAGCGGUGGAGCAUGUGGUUCAAUUCGAUGCAACGCGAAGAACCUUACCCGGGCUUGAAGUGGAGGUGGUAGAAACCGGAAACGGUAACGACCCCGAAAGGGGAGCCUUCAUCAGGUGUUGCAUGGCUGUCGUCAGCUCGUGUCGUGAGAUGUUAGCUUAAGUGCUGUAACGAGCGAAACCCUUGCUGUUAGUUGCAAACCCGAAAGGGUGCACUCUAGCAGGACUGCCCGUGCUGAAUGGGAGGAAGGUGGGGAUGACGUAAGGAUAG